rnacentral:rRNA from 1 species
GACGAACGCUGGCGGCGUGCUUAACACAUGCAAGUCGUACGGUAAGGCCCUUUCUGGGGUACACGCGUGGCGAACGGGCGAGUAACACGUGCGUAACCUGCCCACAACUUUGGGAGAACGCUCGUAAACUGGCGCUAAUACUUGCUAUGUACUCCUUCUUCAUGGUGGGGGGUGGAAAGCUCCCGGGGUUGUGGCUGGACUCGCGGCCUAUCAGCCUGUUGGUUGGGGAGUGGGCUACCUAGGCGGCGGCGGGGGGGCGGCCUGGGGGGGGGGCCGGCCACAUUGGGGCCUGGGACCGGCCCCGGCUCCCACGGGGGGCAGCAGGGGGGAAUAUUGCAAAAUGGGCGCGAGCCUGAUGCAACAACGCCGCGUGCCGGAUGACGGCCUUCGGGUUGUAAACCGCUUUCAGCAGGGGCGGAGCUUUUUGUGACGGUACCUGCAGAAGAAGCACCGGCUAACUACGUG